rfam:Bacteroides eggerthii 1_2_48FAA genomic scaffold supercont1.7, whole genome shotgun sequence.
GAUUGUAAUUUCUUCUCUACAAUCGCGGCUG